rnacentral:misc_RNA from 1 species
GAAAUGCGAUAAGUAAUGCGAAUUGCAGAAUCCGUGAGUCAUCGAAUCUUUGAACGCACAUUGCGCCCGCCAGUAUUCUGGCGGGCAUGCCUGUCCGAGCGUCAUUUCAACCAUCAAGCCCCCGGGCUUGUGUUGGGGACCUGCGGCUGCCCGCAGGCCCUGAAAACCAGUGGCGGGCUCGCUGUCACACCGAGCGUAGUAGCAAUCACCUCGCUCAGGGCGUGCUGCGGGUUCCGGCCGUUAAACAGCCUUACAAAACCCAAGGUUGACCUCGGAUCAGGUAGGAAGACCCGCUGAACUUAAGC